rfam:Trichobilharzia regenti genome assembly, scaffold: TRE_scaffold0008189
AUCCAGUGACGAGUCCCAAAUAGGACGAAAUGUGCAUCCUGGCUGGAC